AAUUUUCUAUACUUUUUAGUCUGAUGCUGAAAACCCAGCCUCUAUGCACUGGUGCCGAGCCAAAUCUCAUCUCAGAGACAGUGUUUUGGGUGAAGCAGAAAAGAAUAGUUUUAUUGCUUUGCCAGGCAAAAGGGGACACAGAGGGCUCUUGCCCUUGAUAAUUGUGUGUCCCCACCUGGGAGGAUUUAGUGGAGUUUUUACAGCAAUAGUUCAAGGGCAAGGUUGCUGAUAAGAUUAGGGUGUGCACUCCUUUACUCUGGUCUCAGGUAAUCUCCUAAUGAGCUACUCUGGUUCCUUUAAUCUGGCCUCUGGUGGUCUUCUCUGGAAUGAAGAAUGCUAACUCCAUUUGUUGGGGGUUUUAGUUCUGUAAAGAGCUCAAAGACAUUGUUAUGUGCAUCCCUUGAGGCAGAACCAGGACCUGCCCCAAGGCUGCAGCUCUUGUUUCUUGGCUGUUCCUCCCUUGUCUCUGCAUCCCCUCCCUUCCCUGAUUAGCAACUGUUUGAAUCUCCCCUUUGGGACUCAGGGAAGGUCAUGGAGGCUGGAGUCUGGUCCCUACAAACAAGGAAUGGGGGACAGGGAAAGGCUUCCAUGUCCAGGAGCCCCACAGGGUCCUGCUUGGUUUCAAGUCUACCUGAUCUGAAAAUCAGAAAUUCUCCACAGUAUCUCCAGAUACAUGUAUUUUGGAUUUAGGCUCCUCUGUGACCCGCCCCCCCACCCCCCGGUUUUUUUAAGUACUGCUCUGAUGUUAGGUAGUUAGUGAAUUCUUCUCAUUUCUGCUCAGUGAAAUAUUUUUCUAUUCAACUGUCCCUUUCCUCUCCUUUCCCUUAUUGCUGUUUUCUCAGAAUCCCUGAGAGUCAGAUUUUGGCUUAAGAUUAGGAAGCUCCUUCUGGAAGCUGGAGGAGCCCAUGAUGGUGGGAGCCAGCUGUGCUGCCGUCACUGGAUUGACACCAGCAGAAACAGGGACUGUCCUGUCAAGAUGCUGGAGUGAGAAGGCUAUGGAAACUGAUGCUAUUAAGCUUACUCAUGCUUAUUUUUAAACCACAAUAUUCCUUUGGCUUCCAAUAAUACAACUUUCCUCUUCCUCCUGGCAGCCUGAGGAGAAAGCCCCAAGAACCAGCCGGAUAUACGCUUCUACAUGAAAAGACCUGAAGAGGUGAUUUUGAUUUGGCUAUCUGGAUGCUGAAUAAUUCUUUCAUUUUAAUCUUUGGAGUUCAAUAAUGUAGUUGGCAUUUUAAAAAUGAAGCAUGGUUAAAGGUCAAGGAAUGGCUGUGCCAAUGGGUGACUAUAGGUAAGUCAAGAAAUGAGUUUGUUGAGCUUUGGCAGUCGAGGAAAUCUGUGUGGAAUCGGGACCCAUCCUGGAUACUCUGACUCUGGCGUCUGUUGCUGUCCGGUGGAGACGGCUGCGCAGACCUCAUAGCACCAGCCUUCGCCAUUGAGGAAGGUUUACGAAAGGUGUGGGUGUUGACAGACAGCGGCAUUGAGAACAGAUGAGACAACUAAGGAGAGAGAUGUAAAGAGUUAACGCAACAUGACGCAGAUGCAACUUAUCAUCAAGAAGAUGGAGCUGCUUCCCAAGUUGUGCAAAAGAGACGGCCCCCCCUCAAAUUAUCUGCAGAAAUCAGAUCAAAAUCCUGCAGACUUUCAAGUAUUUUAACUCAAAAUUGGUAACGGUCUAAACGGUGCCUUUUCUCAGUGGCUAUACACGUGGGGAGAGAAAAAUAGUAGCUCCAGGAGUAUGCCUUGGAAGGGAGUAAAGAAAGGCCAGACACAGUUCAAGGUUAUAGCUGAACGCAACGGCACUGAUGAGAAUUUGGACAGGUAAUACCCUCUCUUGAGAAAUUGUGAAUGUGAAGGAUCCUGGAGAAGAAUGUUGAAGUAUGAUAGCAUUAGAGUUUAAACGCUCUCAAAGAAUCUUGCUGGCUCAUUGCACAAAGAAAAGAGAGAUAUUUUAAUCAUGAGCUAUCUAUCAUCACUUGAAUUUGAAGGCCCGUUUUGAAGUCACAAGCUACUGACUCCCAUGAUGUCAGUUUUUAGGUCUCUUGCCGGAACGAAAAAGGUAUG